AUGCCGAGAAGGUGGCAGGUCUGGGGCCGGCCCGGCGGUAGCCAAGUCUGGGUCCCCGCCCCCGACCCUGAUGCGCCGCCCCCGCCACCGCCCGCCGCAGCCCCGCCUCUUCCUCCGCCGGGGCACGCCGCGGGGACAGCCGCCGCUUCAUUCGAGGAUGCGCCGGUCAAAGACUUGACUGGCGCCUCUCCUGCGUCGUCAUUUCUCCGAUCCAAAACCCUAGGCCGGGGUGCUGCCGACGGAUGCCGCAUCGAGUCCAUGGCCGACCUCCUCGUCCAAGCUGAGGAACCUCCUGUGGGCUACUUCCAAGCAUGA
rnacentral:rRNA from 1 species